rnacentral:rRNA from 1 species
GAACGCUAGCUACAGGCUUAACACAUGCAAGUCGAGGGGAAACGAUAGAGAAAGCUUGCUUUUUCUAGGCGUCGACCGGCGCACGGGUGAGUAACGCGUAUCCAACCUGCCCAUCACUUGGGGAUAACCUUGCGAAAGUAAGACUAAUACCCAAUGAUAUCCGUCGAAGACAUCUGAAGUGGAUUAAAGAUUUAUCGGUGAUGGAUGGGGAUGCGUCUGAUUAGCUUGUUGGCGGGGUAACGGCCCACCAAGGCGACGAUCAGUAGGGGUUCUGAGAGGAAGGUCCCCCACAUUGGAACUGAGACACGGUCCAAACUCCUACGGGAGGCAGCAGUGAGGAAUAUUGGUCAAUGGACGAGAGUCUGAACCAGCCAAGUAGCGUGCAGGAUGACGGCCCUAUGGGUUGUAAACUGCUUUUAUAAGGGAAUAAAGUGAGCCUCGUGAGGCUUUUUGCAUGUACCUUAUGAAUAAGGACCGGCUAAUUCCGUGCCAGCAGCCGCGGUAAUACGGAAGGUCCGGGCGUUAUCCGGAUUUAUUGGGUUUAAAGGGAGCGUAGGCCGGAGAUUAAGCGUGUUGUGAAAUGUAGAUGCUCAACAUCUGAACUGCAGCGCGAACUGGUUUCCUUGAGUACGCACAAAGUGGGCGGAAUUCGUGGUGUAGCGGUGAAAUGCUUAGAUAUCACGAAGAACUCCGAUUGCGAAGGCAGCUCACUGGAGCGCAACUGACGCUGAAGCUCGAAAGUGCGGGUAUCGAACAGGAUUAGAUACCCUGGUAGUCCGCACGGUAAACGAUGGAUGCCCGCUGUUGGUCUGAAUAGGUCAGCGGCCAAGCGAAAGCAUUAAGCAUCCCACCUGGGGAGUACGCCGGCAACGGUGAAACUCAAAGGAAUUGACGG